rnacentral:rRNA from 1 species
CAGAGAAGCUUGCUUCUUGGGUGGCGAGUGGCGAACGGGUGAGUAACAUAUCGGAACGUACCGAGUAGUGGGGGAUAACUGAUCGAAAGAUCAGCUAAUACCGCAUACGUCUUGAGAGAGAAAGCAGGGGACCUUCGGGCCUUGCGCUAUUCGAGCGGCCGAUAUCUGAUUAGCUAGUUGGUGGGGUAAAGGCCCACCAAGGCGACGAUCAGUAGCGGGUCUGAGAGGAUGAUCCGCCACACUGGGACUGAGACACGGCCCAGACUCCUACGGGAGGCAGCAGUGGGGAUUUUGGACAAUGGGCGCAAGCCUGAUCAGCCAUGCCGCGUGUCUGAAGAAGGCCUUCGGGUUGUAAAGGACUUUUGUCAGGGAAGAAAAGGCUGUUGCUAAUAUCAGCGGCUGAUGACGGUACCUGAAGAGUAAGCACCGGCUAACUACGUGCCAGCAGCCGCGGUAAUACGUAGGGUGCGAGCGUUAAUCGGAAUUACUGGGCGUAAAGCGAGCGCAGACGGUUACUUAAGCAGGAUGUGAAAUCCCCGGGCUCAACCUGGGAACUGCGUUCUGAACUGGGUGACUAGAGUGUGUCAGAGGGAGGUGGAAUUCCACGUGUAGCAGUGAAAUGCGUAGAGAUGUGGAGGAAUACCGAUGGCGAAGGCAGCCUCCUGGGAUAACACUGACGUUCAUGCUCGAAAGCGUGGGUAGCAAACAGGAUUAGAUACCCUGGUAGUCCACGCCCUAAACGAUGUCAAUUAGCUGUUGGGCAACU